UGGUGGUGAGAUAGAAGAGAAAGAGCUCGUUUGGGCCUUAGGCCCAAACAACCAAGAUUUGAAACGUAAAGAAACGCAUCUUCAUUCCUUCACACUUCGUAUCAGCUGAAACGGAAACAGGAAAAGCUUAUCCAAAGAAGAUUUUGCACGUACGGCAUCACUCUUCUCCUCAUCAUCAAUUUGAAUGUUCAAAUAAUCAACAAGAAAAAUGAAACGCCAACGCGAACUAGGUCCACCGGAGACGCAUACUCAACACAAGCUCGAGGACGCCGGAAUCUUCACUUCACCGGAUCGAAGCUAAAUUGCAACGGCAUCACGAAAUCGAGAUAAAUGUAUUGAAGCAAAAAACUCAUUGGACUUGACGCGGUGGCGAUAAAAGAAGUAUCGACUUCCUUCUCCUUCCUCCGUUUUCGAAUCAAAGUUUGUUAGAAACUCACCUUAAAUGCUUCUGAAAUUCUCCUCAAAUUGCUUUGAAAUGAAAAAAAUCAGUUAGAGGUACUGUUAAUAGAGCUCUCGCUUGCGUGUUUUGAAUGGAUGGUUCUGCUUAGUCUAAAUGCUUUUUGUGAGUUAUGCAGGUGGAUACUGGUUUGAAUUUCCUAUAUUUUCCUUCAUUCAUUGGUUUGGCAGGGCACGUUUUUCCUGUAUUUCUGUCAUGAACUGCACAUUGAAUUAGUUUUGCAGGUUAAAUUUUUUGUCAUAUGCCUAUUAUGAGAAAUCUUGCAGAAUGCAGUGUUACUGAGAACAUUUGCAGGAUAUAGGUGCUAAUGAACGCGUCAUAUUUAGGUGCAGCUGACUUAGAAAAAAUAGAUUGGGAGGUUAUUAAUUUUGGUUUGGACAUUUGGAUUUGGUUUGUAAAAUUGUAAUGGAAAGUUGUAGUUUGAAACUUGAAUGUAUUAUUGAAAGUUAAUGAAUGGUUGGAAAUUGUGUUUAA